rnacentral:rRNA from 1 species
UACGGAAGGCAGCAGUGGGGAAUAUUGCACAAUGGGCGCAAGCCUGAUGCAGCCAUGCCGCGUGUAUGAAAAAGGCCUUCGGGUCGUAAAGUACUUUCAGUCGUGAGGAAGGUGUUAAGGUUAAUAACCUUAGCAAUUGACGUUAGCGACAGAAGAAGCACCGGCUAACUCCGUGCCAGCAGCCGCGGUAAUACGGAGGGUGCGAGCGUUAAUCGGAAUUACUGGGCGUAAAGGGCACGCAGGCGGUUAAUUAAGUUGGAUGUGAAAUCCCCGGGCUUAACCUGGGAAUGGCAUUCAAGACUGGUUAGCUAGAGUCUUGUAGAGGGGGUAGAAUUCCAUGUGUAGCGGUGAAAUGCGUAGAGAUGUGGAGGAAUACCGGUGGCGAAGGCGGCCCCUGGACAAAGACUGACGCUCAUGUGCGAAAGCGUGGGGAGCAAACAGGGAUUAGAUACC